UUAUACGAUUUGUGGUGUGAAUGAUCGUGUGUGCGGCCCUACUUCCUUUCCUCCUAAGUAUGGCCACACUCAUGUCAAUUUCGUGGCUACUCCCAAAAGCACUUGUGGUGGUUCUGCGGCUUUGUUUUUUGCUGAAAUUAGCAACAAUGACCAAGACGACGAGUCCUUCUGUUGCCAUGUUGCUCUGCCUCCGCCAUGUGCUGCACAAAUUCGGUGUCUUUACUGUGAGUACAUUGGGACUAGAAUUGUGCAUCCAGCCGGGAUAGACUUCCAUGGGCGUGAGUCGGAGUUUGAGAAGAUGGCCUGCGGAAAAGACCCCCGUAACGGUGACUAUGUCCCUCCGUGGAGGGCACCAUACUACAGCAACUCGCAAAUCAUCAAUAAUAGGCGCGGCUUGGCAGAGAAUGUUUAUGGCAGGGAGAAAGAAGAUAGCCUCUAUGAUGACUUGGAUGAGCACAAGAGUGUGGAUCUGGGGCCCAUGAGUAUUCGACAAAUAUUUUUAGAAAUGUAGAGUUCUGUCAAAGCUACACAAGAGUGAGUAUGAUGUGUAGUUCUGUGACUAUAUGCAAGACAAUUAAAGUUUAUGUUGUCUCAGAGGUAGGAUAGUACUCCUGAAAUCUAACAAGGUGGUUGAUGUACUACUAGAAUAUCCUAUGAUGUGUGUUAGUAAUGGGAUUUGAAUGACGUGUGUUAGUGAUGUUAUUUGAGUGUGGGAACUGCAGUCUAAUCUGAACAAUGUAACUGCUUCAGUUAGAAAUCACAUGGUGCUGCAUCUUUGUUCA